GAAACAAGGGCAGCUCCGUAUCCAGGCUGAGCUUGGACCUUGCACUUCCUGGGAGCCAAGGACCAAAUCCCUGCUGGGGAAGAGCGGCAGCGGGGUGCCCCCCACCCCGGGCAGCAGGGCAGGGAGCCAGAAGGAGGAGGAAGGAGCCUGGCCUCCUCCAUCACAGCCUAGGCAGAGACUGCACAGUGGAGAUGAUGAAGACGGGAGAGUCCAGACCCUGCAGGUCCUGCAGCAGCUGGCAGAUGGUGAACUGAGGCUCAAAGCCCAGAGAGGUUAAGUGAUCAGCUCAGGACGCACAGCACGAGAGAAGAAGGACCCGGCCAGGAAGGAGACGAGGCCCCUUGGGGAGCUCACUCAGAGGACACAAAGCACAGAUGUGCCCCUCGCAGCCCCCCCAGUCCCAGAGAGACUGGGUGCACAG
rnacentral:lncRNA from 1 species